GGUGCUAAUACCGUAUAACACUAUUUUCCGCAUGGAAGAAAGUUGAAAGGCGCUUUUGCGUCACUGAUGGAUGGACCCGCGGUGCAUUAGCUAGUUGGUGAGGUAACGGCUCACCAAGGCCACGAUGCAUAGCCGACCUGAGAGGGUGAUCGGCCACACUGGGACUGAGACACGGCCCAGACUCCUACGGGAGGCAGCAGUAGGGAAUCUUCGGCAAUGGACGAAAGUCUGACCGAGCAACGCCGCGUGAGUGAAGAAGGUUUUCGGAUCGUAAAACUCUGUUGUUAGAGAAGAACAAGGAUGAGAGUAAAACGUUCAUCCCUUGACGGUAUCUAACCAGAAAGCCACGGCUAACUACGUGCCAGCAGCCGCGGUAAUACGUAGGUGGCAAGCGUUGUCCGGAUUUAUUGGGCGUAAAGCGAGCGCAGGCGGUUUCUUAAGUCUGAUGUGAAAGCCCCCGGCUCAACCGGGGAGGGUCAUUGGAAACUGGGAGACUUGAGUGCAGAAGAGGAGAGUGGAAUUCCAUGUGUAGCGGUGAAAUGCGUAGAUAUAUGGAGGGACACCAGUGGCGAAGGCGGCUCUCUGGUCUGUAACUGACGCUGAGGCUCGAAAGCGUGGGGAGCGAACAGGAUUAGAUACCCUGGUAGUCCACGCCGUAAACGAUGAGUGCUAAGUGUUGGAGGGUUUCCGCCCUUCAGUGCUGCAGCAAACG
rnacentral:rRNA from 1 species